AUUGAACGCUGGCGGCAUGCCUUACACAUGCAAGUCGAACGGUAACAGGUCUUCGGAUGCUGACGAGUGGCGAACGGAUGAGUAAUACAUCGGAACGUGCCCGAUCGUGGGGGAUAACGGAGCGAAAGCUUUGCUAAUACCGCAUACGAUCUACGGAUGAAAGCAGGGGACCGCAAGGCCUUGCGCGGACGGAGCGGCCGAUGGCAGAUUAGGUAGUUGGUGGGAUAAAAGCUUACCAAGCCGACGAUCUGUAGCUGGUCUAAGAGGACGACCAGCCAAACUGGGACUGAGACACGGCCCAGACUCCUACGGGAGGCAGCAGUGGGGAAUUUUGGACAAUGGGCGAAAGCCUGAUCCAGCCAUGCCGCGUGCAGGAUGAAGGCCUUCGGGUUGUAAACUGCUUUUGUACGGAACGAAAAGCCUCUUUCUAAUAAAGGGAGGUCAUGACGGUACCGUAAGAAUAAGCACCGGCUAACUACGUGCCAGCCGCCGCCGUAACAC
rnacentral:rRNA from 1 species